rnacentral:lncRNA from 1 species
CGAAAUACCGAAAGCGAAAUACCGAAUUAAUUCGGUACGGUUCGAAAUUCAGUUUUUCGAUUUUUAUGCCCACCCCUAAAAAUAAGUGUUCCAAUAAAGAAAAAUCAACAGUCGCUUAUUUUCCCUGCAAAAGAAACGUCGUUUCCGUGCAAAAGAAAUAGUCGCUCUUUUACUGCUCUUAAACUGCUCCUCUCUUCAUCCGUGCAAAAGAAACAUCGUUUGCUCUUCAGAAUUUUAAUUUUUCCCUUCAAUUUCCGUUUCUCUUAUUUCUACUACUGCUAGAGGUAAAUCGCAUCUCUCUGAUUUUGACUUUGUGAUUUGAUUAUCUCUUCCUUAUUUUUGAGAUUUAUUUGGUUUGUAUUCCUUGUAUCACUGUAUCCAAUCUUCUAGGAUUUUGCUUAUGUUCCAUACUGUUUGUUCUUUGUGAUAAACUUUUAUUUCUUAAAUAGUUUUAGUAUGUUUUUCUUUAAACUGUAUAGGGUGAACUAUGACUCUGUUUUUUUUUUUUAAUUUUUUGUAGCUUCUAAGAGUUCUCGACUAUCUAAUCUUCUAAUCCUAAUUAUGGCUAUGGCAUGAUAGGCUUUGGGGAUAAUCUCUGUCCAGAUUUGCGAUUUCAUCUGAGUUCAAUAAAAGAGUGACCUUUGGUUGGUGCAAUUACGGCUUCAUAUCUCUCUGUAUAUGAUUUUUUUACAUUCUUUAAGUAAGGACAAAAUUUCAAAGUAUUAAAUUUGAGUCUCUUAUAAUAGAAAUAAAUAUACUUAUACACGUAUAUUUAAUUCACAAAAGGAAAAAUCAUGUUAUCAAAUCUGUCAAAGAUAUAUCCACAUAAACAAAUUAUUUUUUCUUAAAAUUAUUAUUGAUUCAAGAAUUGAACAAGAGCUCUAGAGAUUUCAGUUUAGCUUUGUAAAAUUUGAUGGAUUACAUGGUUGUAGACAUCUUCGAUGAAAUUAUUGUAGGUAAAAGGUCACAUGUUAAUAUAAAGAAUAAUAUGAAUAUAAAGCUUGAAAUAGCUUCCACUUGCUUUUACUUGAAUUCAAGAAGCAGCUAAGACCUGUCAAAUUGAAGCUUGGAAAUAUAAUGUAUUAGUUCUUUUUCUUAUCAUCAUACAAAGUCAAAAGUUCUUUAUUUGACUCAAAAAAAAUGCUAGAAACCCGUAUAACUUGUCAGAUGAAGCUCCUAUUCAAGGUUUAUUAUCUUUUGUCUAUGUAAUUAAUGAUUCCUUUUGUUGCAAGGGAGAGAUAAUUUGCAGUACAUGAAAAAUAAUUUGACAUAAAGAUUGAUAUAGGGCACCUAUAGAAAAUUCUUUCAGGAUACAUCUUAAUCUUGGUCAUUUAGUUACUAAAAGCCAUGCUAACUUUAGUAUCAAAGAAUGGGCAGAAUUAUAUUGUUAAAUUGAUGAGAAAAUUGCUUUAUGCUGUGUUAAUGGCAUUCGUUCUACACCUACAAAAAAUUUCAAUAAUGCAGGUUAUUUUUUUCCUUGUGAGCAUUUGUUUAAUACUGUUGUGUUUAUAUGAUAACUUCUCUUCGUGCCAUUUGCUAGGAAUUAUAAGAAUCCAAGUAUUAUGAAGAGAAGUGUCAUUGGUAUAGAAGAAGCUAUAUGCCAAGUUUUGAUCAAGCAAUUCCUCAAUUUUCUUUUGCUUCUUUCUCCUUAGUUAAGCAAUUUCAGUUAUAAAUAUUGUUUUUGCUCGUAGCACCAUUCUCACCUUCCUUCUCCUUAUCACUAUGCAUUUCCCGAAUGGCCGAAUUUUAAUGACACUUUCCCUUCUUGUCAUACAUUCCCCAUAGAAGCAAUAAGAAUACUGCUAUAGAUGGUCUUUGUAGUUUUGACGCUGAAGUGAAGCUGCAAAAUAUUACAGAGAAGUUGGGAGUUAUGCUGAGGAGGAAGGGUGUUAUUUUUUACUUCAGUAUUAUACAUAUCUAUUGUAGUUUUUUCUUUUGAGUUUUGUAUAUUUGAAUUGUUGUUGUAUUUUAAUUUAUAUAUGUGUCGUACUUCCCUAAUAGAGAUUUGGUGAUAGGGAGAUAUGCCAGUGUUCCACCACAAUAGUAUAUAUGCGUGUUCUGCUUUUUCCGCAAAA